UGCUGCAUAGUGUAGGGAUUAUCACAUCAUAUUUUGAUUCUGGGAACCCUGGUUCAAAUCCGGGUGCAGCCU